rnacentral:rRNA from 1 species
AACGAACGCUGGCGGCAGGCUUAACACAUGCAAGUCGAACGCCCCGCAAGGGGAGUGGCAGACGGGUGAGUAACGCGUGGGAACGUGCCCUUCGCCUCGGAAUAGCCCCGGGAAACUGGGAGUAAUACCGAAUACGCCGUAUUGGGAAAGAUUUAUCGGCGAAGGAUCGGCCCGCGUUGGAUUUGCUAGUUGGCGGUGUAAUGGUCCACCAAGGCUACGAUCUAUAGCUGGUCUGAGAGGAUGAUCAGCCACACUGGGACUGAGACGCGGCCCAGACUCCUGCGGGAGGCAGCAGUGGGGAAUCUUGAACAAUGGGCGCAAGCCGGUUCCAGCCAUGCCGCGUGAGUGAAGAAGGCCUUAGGGUUGUAAAACACUUUCGCCGGAAAAGAUAAGGACGGUAUCCGGAGAAGAAGCCCCGGCUAACUUCGUGCCAGCAGCCGCCGUAAGAC